rnacentral:tRNA from 1 species
GCCUGGAUAGCUCAGUUGGUUAGAGCAUGGUGCUGAUAAUGCCAAGGCUGGAAGUUCGAUCCCCAUAUGGGACA